rnacentral:tRNA from 1 species
GCUGGAUUAGCUCAGCCGGUAGAGCAACUGCCUUGUAAGCAGUAGGUCACCUGUUCGAUUCGGGUAUCCAGCACCA